rnacentral:rRNA from 1 species
GAUGAACGCUGGCGGCGUGCCUAAUACGUGCAAGUCGAGCGAACGGACGAGAAGCUUGCUUCUCUGAUGUUAGCGGCGGACGGGUGAGUAACACGUGGAUAACCUACCUAUAAGACUGGGAUAACUUCGGGAAACCGGAGCUAAUACCGGAUAAUAUUUUGAACCGCAUGGUUCAAAAGUGAAAGACGGUCUUGCUGUCACUUAUAGAUGGAUCCGCGCUGCAUUAGCUAGUUGGUAAGGUAACGGCUUACCAAGGCAACGAUGCAUAGCCGACCUGAGAGGGUGAUCGGCCACACUGGAACUGAGACACGGUCCAGACUCCUACGGGAGGCAGCAGUAGGGAAUCUUCCGCAAUGGGCGAAAGCCUGACGGAGCAACGCCGCGUGAGUGAUGAAGGUCUUCGGAUCGUAAAACUCUGUUAUUAGGGAAGAACAUAUGCGUAAGUAACUGUGCACAUCUUGACGGUACCUAAUCAGAAAGCCACGGCUAACUACGUG